GGGUCAGUAGGUUGGUCGUGCCACCGGUACGUACUGGUCUCACUGAUUCCUCCUCCCUGAAGAACCGUAAUGCCAUUAAUUUGGUGUUGCGGGGAAACAGGACUGUUACUUUGAAAAAAUUAGAGUGUUUAAAGCAAGCUAACGCUUGAAUACAUUAGCAUGGAAUAAUGAAACAGGACGAUCGAUCCUAUUUUGUUGGUUUCUAGGAUUGACGUA
rnacentral:rRNA from 1 species